rfam:Oryza sativa (indica cultivar-group) chromosome 5, whole genome shotgun sequence.
AAUAAGUGCAGUUUUACACUAUUCACGUUCAACGUUUAACCGUUUGUCUUAUUUGUAAUUUUUUUUAUUAGUAUAUUUUAUUGCUAUUAGAUGAUAAAACAUGAAUAGUAUUUUAUGUGUGACUAAAUAUUUUCAAAUUUUUCACAAAUUUUUUAAAUAAGACGGAUGAUCAAAUGUUGGACACGGAUAUCCACGGCUGCACUUAUU